UACGAAGGGUGCAAGCGUUACUCGGAAUUACUGGGCGUAAAGCGUGCGUAGGUGGUUCGUUAAGUCUGAUGUGAAAGCCCUGGGCUCAACCUGGGAACUGCAUUGGAUACGGGCGAUCUGGAGUGCGGUAGAGGGUGGCGGAAUUCCCGGUGUAGCAGUGAAAUGCGUAGAUAUCGGGAGGAACAUCCGUGGCGAAGGCGGCCACCUGGACCAGCACUGACACUGAGGCACGAAAGCGUGGGGAGCAAACAGG
rnacentral:rRNA from 1 species